rnacentral:misc_RNA from 1 species
GAUUUUUUUUUUCAUAUUUUCGCAGGCGGAAGAAAACCCUUCAGAUCGAUGAUCUCAGUAUAGAAAUCACAGUUGUAAUCUUUUCUUCUUUGGUUUUGCAAAAACCUUUCGUUAGGGUUUUCGUUCAUUUGUAAUGGAGCCUCGUGUGGGUAACAAGUUUCGACUUGGUCGCAAAAUUGGUAGUGGAUCGUUUGGUGAGAUCUAUCUUGGUACUAAUAUUCAGACUAAUGAAGAAGUGGCAAUUAAGCUGGAAAAUAAUAAGACAAAGCAUCCACAGUUGCUAUAUGAAUCAAAGUUGUAUAGGAUUCUUCAGGGAGGAACUGGAAUUCCAAACGUGAGGUGGUUUGGCGUGGAGGGAGAUUACAAUGUUCUGGUCAUGGAUUUACUAGGACCCAGUCUUGAAGAUCUAUUUAAUUUUUGCAGCAGGAAGCUUUCCCUGAAGACAGUUUUAAUGCUUGCUGAUCAAAUGAUAAAUCGUGUUGAAUUUGUUCAUUCUAAAUCAUUUUUG